CUUGUCUCAAAGAUUAAGCCAUGCAUGUCUAAGUAUAAACUCUUUUGUACGGUGAAACUGCGAAUGGCUCAUUAAAUCAGUUAUAGUUUAUUUGAUGGUUUCUUGCUACAUGGAUAACUGUGGUAAUUCUAGAGCUAAUACAUGCAUUAAUCCCCGACUUCUGGAAGGGGUGUAUUUAUUAGAUAAAAACCAUCCCUUCGGGCCUUGGUGAAUCAUAAUAACUUCUCGGAUCGCAUGGCUUCAUGCCGGCGAUGCUUCAUUCAAAUAUCUGCCCUAUCAACUGUCGAUGGUAGGAUAGAGGCCUACCAUGGUUGCAACGGGUAACGGGGAAUAAGGGUUCGAUUCCGGAGAGGGAGCCUGAGAAACGGCUACCACAUCCAAGGAAGGCAGCAGGCGCGCAAAUUACCCAAUCCCGACACGGGGAGGUAGUGACAAUAUGUAACAAUAUACGGCCUUUAGGUCGUAUAAUUGGAAUGAGUACAAUUUAAAUCCCUUAACGAGGAACAAUUGGAGGGCAAGUCUGGUGCCAGCAGCCAAUCGAAUUCCC
rnacentral:rRNA from 1 species